rnacentral:pre_miRNA from 1 species
UCUUUGGUUAUCCAGUUUGAUGCCACACACUGCACCGGACUAAAUGACCAAAGU